UACAGAGGGGGCAAGCGUUAUUCGGAAUUAUUGGGCGUAAAGGGCGCGUAGGCGGCCUUGCAAGUGACGGGUGAAAUCCCUCGGCUUAACCGAGGAACUGCCUGUCAGACUGCAUGGCUUGAGACCGGGAGAGGUGAGUGGAAUUCCCAGUGUAGCGGUGAAAUGCGUAGAUAUUCGCAAGAACACCAGUGGCGAAGGCGGCUCACUGGCCCGGUACUGACGCUGAGGUGCGAAAGCGUGGGGAGCAAACAGG
rnacentral:rRNA from 1 species